UGUGGUUUGUGCAGCCCUUUGAGACACUAGUGAUUUAGGGCUAUAUAAGUAAACAUUGAUUGAUUGAUUGAUUGAUAUACAUAUACACAUGCAUAUAUAUAUAUACAGCCACGAUCAAAAGUUUACAUACACUUGUAAAGAACAUAAUGCCAUGGCUGUCUUGAGUUUUCAAUCAUUUCUACAACUCUUAUUUUUUUGUGAUAGAGUGAUUGGAGCACAUACUUGUUGGUCACUAUAAACACUCGUAAAGUUUGGUUCUUUUAUGAAUUUAUUAUGGGUCUACUGAACAUGUGAGCAAUUGUGCUGGGUCAAAAGUAUACAUACAGCAAUGUUAAUAUUUGCUUACAUGUCCCUUGGAGAGUUUCACUGAAAUAAGGCGCUUUUGGUUGCCAUCCACAAGCUUCUGCUUGAAUUUUUGACCCCUCCUCUUGACAAAAUUGGUGCAGUUUAGCAAAAUGUGUUGGUUUUCUGACACAGACUUGUUUCUUCAGCAUUGUCCACACGACUUUGGGAAGGCCAUUUUAAAACCUUAAUUCCAGCCGGAUUUAGACAUUCCUUGACCACUUUUGACGUGUGUUUUAGGUCAUUGUCCUGUUGGAACACCCAACUGUGCCCAAGUUCCAACCUCCGGGCUGAUGAUUUUAGGUUUUCCUGAAGAAUUUUGAGGUGUAUCGUCCUUGGGAGAGGCUCACUUUACACCCAGUGAGGAUGUGUCUGAGUGUCGCCUGUGUUCAGCACAGGGGGCAUGAUGGAUCUUCACCCAGCCCUUGGUUGAGACAAAUGGUACACAGUUUCCACAUGGUGAGGACAUAGAUGUUCCAAUUCACUAUCUUACGGAUCACCUCUACUUCUGCGUGGACGUGACCUGCCCUGCUAAGACUUUUCGGUGCUACCCUUAUAAGAAACCCUGGGUAACACAGGAGGUGAAAGCUAUGCUCAACAAGAAGAAGCACAGCGGGAGAUGAAAAGGACGCGUGAGGAAGGCUAAGGACAGCUACAGGAAGAAGCUGGAGCAGAACAACAUGAGGGAGGUCUGGGAAGGUGUGAAAACCAUCACGGUCCACAAGACAAAGACCAGAGCAGUAGGGGGGACAAUAGAGAAGGCCAACUUCUUCAACCGGUUCAACCAGCACAUGUCCUUCCCACCCCCACUCCUCAUCGCAGCCACCCCCUCUUCUUCUCCCCCCCAGCCAUGGCUGCACCCCCCACUCCUCCUCCUCCUCCUCUUUCUCCACCAGACAUUAGUCAUCCCCGUGGACCAGGUCAGAGGUCAACUGAGGAAGCUGCAUCCUAAAACUAUCUGGUGCGCACCAGAAUCUAUGUAGUGUGCUCUGCGUAUCA